CAGCACGUGUUCGUGUGCCCUAACAUGGGAUGGAUGAUGGAUCCUACUGACACUGGAAUCGUUAAUCAACACAAGACUUUGUAUCAGCAGUAUUGAUACUUUGGGGAUUGAUCCGCCCACUCGCACCUAUGUUUAAUUAUUUUGGCUGUAAAUAUGACUACUCCAUACCCGCUGUGAAUGUGUGUGUGUGUGUGUGUGUGUAUAAUAUGUGUGUUGUUUUCAGGAGCACCCUCAUGCUGAUUGGAAAAGAUUUCAGAUUUGGUGGACGUGUCAGGUCGGGUGUUGUUCGACCUUUGGCCUGUCUUUUUACUGGUUUAAGCAACAUGGCCAAGAGCAAGUUUGAGUAUGUGCGCAACUUUGAAACAGAUGACACUUGCCUACGAAACUGCUACAUUGUUGUGAGACUGGACGGGCGCAACUUCCACAAGUUUGCAGAGCAGCACAAGUUCACAAAGCCCAAUGACAACAGAGCCUUGGGCCUGAUGACCCGGAGUGCGCGCUCUGUCAUGGAAGAACUCGAGGAUAUCGUCAUCGCUUAUGGUCAAAGUGACGAGUUCAGCUUUGUUUUCAAGAGGACCUCCACCUGGUUUAAAAGGCGAGCCAGUAAGCUCAUGACCCAUGUGACCUCCCAGUUCUCCUCCUCGUAUGUGUUUUACUGGAAGGAGUUUUUCGGGGAACAGCCCCUCUUGUACCCCCCAGGCUUUGAUGGACGUGUAGUCCUGUAUCCUAGCAACCACAACCUUAGAGACUACCUCAGCUGGAGGCAAGCAGAUUGUCACAUCAACAAUUUGUACAACACAGUGUUUUGGACUUUAGUACAAAAGGGGGGGCUCACCACAGUCCAGGCAGAGGAUCGCUUAAAGGGAACAUUAGCUGCAGACAAAAAUGAGAUCCUAUUCUCUGAGUUUGAUAUCAACUACAACACUGAACCUGCCCUCCACAGGAAAGGCACUACUCUCAUCUGGGAAAAACGAGAUGAAACUGUCCUCAAACGCAUGAAGCUGCCGAGCGGAGAGGAGAAGGACGUGGCUGCGACCCGCAGUAGGAGGAGGGUGGAGGCUCACCACUGCGACAUUAUCGGAGAGCGGUUCUGGGAGGAUCAUCCAAACGUCCUGGAGGACGACAACUGCUAACAGCUCCUGUAUUGCAAUAGGAGAAAAACCCUGAACGGAGUCUGGCCAGCCAUACGAGCAGGGCAGAUGAUAGAACAGCUUGUUUUUAUAGUAAGAAAGUAUUUCUAAGAUAUGAAUAAGCAGAGUAAAGCAGAAACCAAUAACUUGGCAGUAUACCUUUUUAAAAAGCAUGUGGCUUCUCUUAAGUACUUUAUGUAACCAGGAGUCAACAGCAAUUUGGAUUGGUCAGAGAGGCCUGCAUGUUUUAAUUGGAUCUCUAUAAUGAGGUAAUGAACAACUACACAGAACUACAAAUGUACAAACAAACAUGAUUACAAAAGUUGCUCUUUUUCUAAGACAUAAUCUGGGCACUUAGAUCAGUUCACUUGGACUAGUGCCGACACAUCAGUGACUCAACAUAUGGCUUCAUAGUAUAUUUGGUUGCUUAGUAACAAUAUCCUGUUGUGGAAAGUGGUCCAGUUAUUUAAAGACAGCAUGUGUUUACAUGCAGGACUUACACUUAUUCCUGUGUACUCAUGGGGCAUCCUUUAUAAAACCUGUUAUGCAAGAGGUUGCGUGAAGCAGGGUAAAAUUUGCUGUUGCAACAUUCCUUGCAAAAGUCUGGAUUUAUAAAGAAUUUCCAUGUGUAAAAUGUGCCCAGUUUUCCCGCAACCUUUU